rnacentral:rRNA from 1 species
AUUGAACGCUGGCGGCAUGCCUUACACAUGCAAGUCGAACGGCAGCACGGGAGCAAUCCUGGUGGCGAGUGGCGAACGGGUGAGUAAAGCAUCGGGACGUGCCCAGUCGUGGGGGAUAACGUAGCGAAAGCUACGCUAAUACCGCAUACGAUCUGUGGAUGAAAGCGGGGGACCGUAAGGCCUCGCGCGAUUGGAGCGGCCGAUGUCAGAUUAGGUAGUUGGUGAGGUAAAGGCUCACCAAGCCGACGAUCUGUAGCUGGUCUGAGAGGACGACCGGCCACACUGGGACUGAGACACGGCCCAGACUCCUACGGGAGGCAGCAGUGGGGAAUUUUGGACAAUGGGCGCAAGCCUGAUCCAGCAAUGCCGCGUGCAGGAUGAAGGCCUUCGGGUUGUAAACUGCUUUUGUACGGAGCGAAAAGGCUUCCACUAAUACUGGGGGCUCAUGACGGUACCGUAAGAAUAAGCACCGGCUAACUACGUGCCAGCAGCCGCGGUAAAAC